GGCUUCAUAGCUCAGUGGUAGAGCGUUUGCACUGAGAUGGAAAGGUCAUGGGUUCGUAUCCCGUUAGAGCCU